GAUGAACGCUGGCGGCGUGCCUAAUACAUGCAAGUCGAGCGAACAGACGAGGAGCUUGCUCCUUUGACGUUAGCGGCGGACGGGUGAGUAACACGUAGGUAACCUACCUAUAAGACUGGGAUAACUUCGGGAAACCGGAGCUAAUACCGGAUAAUAUUUCGAACCGCAUGGUUCGAUAGUGAAAGAUGGCUUUGCUAUCACUUAUAGAUGGACCUGCGCCGUAUUAGCUAGUUGGUAAGGUAACGGCUUACCAAGGCAACGAUACGUAGCCGACCUGAGAGGGUGAUCGGCCACACUGGAACUGAAACACGGUCCAGACGCCUACGGAAGGCAGCAGUAGGGAAUCUUCCGCAAUGGGCGAAAGCCUGACGGAGCAACGCCGCGUGAGUGAUGAAGGUCUUCGGAUCGUAAAACUCUGUUAUUAGGGAAGAACAAACGUGUAAGUAACUGUGCACGUCUUGACGGUACCUAAUCAGAAAGCCACGGCUAACUACGUG
rnacentral:rRNA from 1 species